AUACGGAGGAUCCGAGCGUUAUCCGGAUUUAUUGGGUUUAAAGGGUGCGCAGGCGGGAGAUUAAGUCGGCGGUGAAAUUUUGCAGCUCAACUGUAAAAGUGCCUUCGAAACUGGUUUUCUUGAGUGUAGAUGCAGUAGGCGGAAUUUGUGGUGUAGCGGUGAAAUGCAUAGAUAUCACGAGGAACUCCGAUUGCGCAGGCAGCUUACUAAACUACUACUGACGCUCAGGCACGAAGGCGUGGGGAUCAAACAGGAUUAGAUACCCUGGUAGUCCACGCAGUAAACGAUGAUUACUAGCUGUUUGCGAUACAAUGUAAGCGGCUGAGCGAAAGCGUUAAGUAAUCCACCUGGGGAGUACGUUCGCAAGAAUGAAACUCAAAUGAAUUGACGGGG
rnacentral:rRNA from 1 species